UACUUAAAUAUCAAAAGUGAAAGAAUUAAUCAUUUCAAAUUCAAUAUAUUAAGCAAACCAGGCGACACCAUUUCUUGUUUUAAUUUACGGAUAGCCAGGGGAACACUCCAACGCUGACAUUGUUUACAAAAUAAGCAUGUGUUUAGUGAGUCCACCAGAUCAGAAGAAGUAGGGUGACCUCUUGAUAAGUGCUUGAAUUGGACCAUUGUCCUGUUCUGCUAAGCAUUCCAAAUGUAACGAGAUCUUUUGGGUGUCAGGGAAAAUAUAUGGGGUAAAAAGUACAAUAUGUUAUUUUAAGAAUGUAGUGAAGUAAAAGUUGGAAAAUAUAAAUAGUGAAGUACAGACCCCAAAGAACUACUACAGUACUUUAAAGUAUUUUUACUUAAGUACUUUACACCACUGAUUAAAAGUUGCUAUUGAACUAUGGUAAGGGUAAUUUUGUUUAAUUCCUUGACUUCCAGUCAUUGUGCUGAUGCUAGUUAGCGUUAGCAUUUGCUAGCAAACUAACUUCCUUCAUACUGGACACAUACAUUAAAAUGGUAUCCACAAGUUCAUCUGGCUCUGGGGAAGUAGAUAAAACGGCCUUAUUUCCAAAAUCCCGAACCAUCCCUUUAAAGUAACUUGCUCUCAUGAAGUCUGAAGAUCGUUUGCCUACUCUUACCUUCGUGAUAAACACACUUGUUUUCUGUCUGGGGAAAAAACUGUUCAGUUAGCAGUAUAUAACUGUUUGAAAUGUUGUGAGAGGAAAUAGCCUCUAAUUGAGCUUUUUGUUUUGAGAUGGUCAGUUGUAGAGCUACUGUAUGCUGAGCAUAAGAAACUUCGUUUUCUAUAUUGAAAUACUACUGUAUGCAAUGUUUUGAGAAUGUCCACCUUGUGAUUGUAACACUUGUCUUUCUAGACAACUAUGUCACCUCCCGUAGGCCACAGUGGUGUGUUAUAUAAACCAAAUCUCUUUUUCAACAUGCAGUUGAACACCUUGUGUAUGAUUUCCAGAAGUUGAUUCCUUAGAAAUUGUGUAAAAGAAAUUGAGAAGAACAGGAAAAUCUAUGAAACCAGGAAAUAAGUUAGUUGCCAUGUUGAAAUGGAGCAACAAAUCAGAUUCAAUAAAUCCAUUUGAAGUAUAUUGUAUUUUGCCUUAAUCUUUGGC
ensembl:lncRNA